UUUGGGAUUGCCGAAAACCAAGUAACAGAGUAGGCA
rfam:Chitinophaga sancti strain DSM 784 genome assembly, contig: LX65DRAFT_scaffold00007.7